UAAACGACUCUCGGCAACGGAUAUCUCGGCUCACGCAUCGAUGAAGAACGUAGCAAAAUGCGAUACUUGGUGUGAAUUGCAGAAUCCCGUGAACCAUCGAGUUUUUGAACGCAAGUUGCGCCCGAAGCCAUCCGGCCGAGGGCACGCCUGCCUGGGCGUCACGC
rnacentral:rRNA from 1 species